AAAGACUUAAUUCUUAGGUUUCCGUGUCCAACAACGUUUGACCGUCCGUCUUAUAUGAAAUUUUUUUAAUUAGUAUUUUCAUUAUUUUUAGAUGAUAAAAUAUGAAUAAUAUUUCAUGCAUGAUUUAUCUUUUUAAUUUUUUUCAUAAUUUUCUCAAAUAAGAUGGACGGUCAAACGUUAGACACGGAAACUCAGGAAUUGAGUUUUU
rfam:Oryza sativa Japonica Group DNA, chromosome 12, cultivar: Nipponbare, complete sequence.